GCCCUUGUAGUACAUCUAAUACCCCGGUCUUGUAAACCGGAAAUGGAGAACCCCCCCUCUCCCCAGGGCA
rnacentral:tRNA from 1 species